GACGUAGGAGGCGAGCGUUAUCCGGAUUCACUGGGCGUAAAGCGCAUGUAGGUGGCUCGUCAAGUCGAAUGUGAAAGCCCCUGGCUUAACUGGGGGAGGUCAUUCGAAACGGGCGGGCUUGAGGGCCGGAGAGGAAGGUGGAAUUCCCGGUGUAGCGGUGGAAUGCGUAGAGAUCGGGAGGAACACCAGUGGCGAAAGCGACCUUCUGGGCGGCGCCUGACACUGAGAUGCGAAAGCGUGGGGAGCAAACGGG
rnacentral:rRNA from 1 species